AACGAACGUUAGCGGCGCGCCUAACACAUGCAAGUCGCACGAGAAAGGGCCUCGGCCCCGGUAAAGUGGCGCACGGGUGAGUAACACGUGGGUAAUCUGCCCUCGAGCAGGGGAUAACAUUCCGAAAGGAGUGCUAAUACCGUAUAAGACCACGACCUCGAAAGAGGAUGUGGUCAAAGCUGGCCUCUAUACAUAAGCUAGCACUUGAGGAUGAGCCCGCGGCGCAUCAGGUAGUUGGUGAGGUAAUGGCUCACCAAGCCUAAGACGCGUAGCUGGUCUGAGAGGAUGAUCAGCCACAAGGGAACUGAGACACGGGCCAGACUCCUACGGGAGGCAGCAGUGGGGAAUCUUGCGCAAUGGGCGAAAGCCUGACGCAGCGACGCCGCGUGAGUGAUGAAGGCCUUCGGGUUGUAAAGCUCUGUGGGGAGAGACGAAUAAGUGCAGCCUAAUACGUUGCAUGAUGACGGUAUCUCCUUAGCAAGCACCGGCUAACUCUGUGCCAGCCGCCGCAGUAAGAC
rnacentral:rRNA from 1 species